AUGCAAGUCGAACGGAACUUACGAGUGGAAGUCUUUCGGGUGGAAGCGAGUAAUGUUUAGUGGCGAACGGGUGAGUAACACGUGAAUAACCUACCCUGGAGUGGGGGACAACACUUUGGAAACAGAUGCUAAUACCGCAUAAGACCACGGAGCCGCAUGGCUCUGAGGCCAAAGGAGCAAUUCGCUCUGGGAUGGAUUCGCGCCUGAUUAGAUAGUUGGUGGGGUAAUGGCCUACCAAGUCGACGAUCAGUAGCCGGACUGAGAGGUUGAACGGCCACAUUGGGACUGAGACACGGCCCAGACUCCUACGGGAGGCAGCAGUGAGGAAUAUUGCACAAUGGACGAAAGUCUGAUGCAGCGACGCCGCGUGAGGGAAGAAGGUUUUCGGAUUGUAAACCUCUGUCUUCGGGGACGAUAAUGACGGUACCCGAGGAGGAAGCCACGGCUAACUACGUGCCAGCAGCCGCGGUAAAACGUAGGUGGCAAGCGUUGUCCGGAAUUACUGGGUGUAAAGGGAGCGCAGGCGGAUUGGCAAGUUGAAUGUGAAAACUGGGGGCUCAACCCCCAGACUGCGUUCAAAACUGCUGAUCUUGAGUGAUGUA
rnacentral:rRNA from 1 species